rnacentral:tRNA from 1 species
AACCAGGUAAGCUAAGUUAUAAGCUGGUAGGUUCAUGCCCUAUUUAUGGUUUUAUCCCCUGGUUU